rnacentral:tRNA from 1 species
UCUCUUCUAGCUCAAUGGGAGAGCAACGGACUGUUAAUCCGUGGGUUGGCGGUUCGAGCCCGUCGAAGGGAG